rnacentral:rRNA from 1 species
UACGUAGGGUGCGAGCGUUGUCCGGAAUCACUGGGCGUAAAGGGCGCGUAGGCGGCUCAUGAAGGCUGUGGGGAAAGUCCGGGGCUCAACCUCGGAUCGGCCGUGGCGACGCGUGGGCUGGAGCACUGUAGAGGCGGGUGGAAUUCCGGGUGUAGCGGUGGAAUGCGUAGAGAUCCGGAAGAACACCAGUGGCGAAGGCGGCCCGCUGGGCAGUGGCUGACGCUGAGGCGCGACAGCGUGGGGAGCAAACAGG